rnacentral:rRNA from 1 species
GUGCACCAGGCGAGAAUACUUUACAAUGUGCGAAAGCACGAUAAGGGAACUCUGAGUGCCUCCUAAGGAGGCUGUUCAGGUGUCUAAAAGCACCUGAAGGAAGGGCUGGGUAAGACCGGUGCCAGCCGCCGCGGUAACACCGGCAGCCCAAGUGGUAGCCACGUUUAUUGGGUCUAAAGCGUCCGUAGCCGGCUGGGUAAGUUCCUUGGGAAAUUUGGCUGCUUAACAGUCAAGCUUUCAGGGAAUACUGCCCGGCUUGGGACCGGGAGAGGUCAGAGGUACUCCAGGGGUAGGGGUGAAAUCCAUUAAUCCUUGGGGGACCACCGGUAGCGAAGGCGUCUGACCAGACCGGGUCCGACGGUGAGGGACGAAGGCUAGGGGCGCGAACCGGAUUAGAUACCCGUGUAGU